GCCGGAUUAGCUCAGUUGGCAGAGCAAUCACCUCGUAAGCGAUAGGUCCGCAGUUCGAUUCUGCGAUCCGGCACCA
rnacentral:tRNA from 2 species